rnacentral:lncRNA from 1 species
CACUGCUCAUUUGCUGAGGCAGCGGAGAUUUCACUCGAGCAAACUGAAGCUGUGGUUUUCUUCCCUCUGCGGUGGUCUUGGUUUUACUUCUUGCAGGCAAAAAUUUCCUCUCAGAGGCAGGAGAUGUAUCUCUCAUUAAAACCUCAUUUGCUGCUUGCUGUUCACCUUACCAAUUUACUUCAACUGACUGCCUUGCUUUGCUGAAUGCCCUCACCUGCUCUGGGGAUCUCAGCACCCGACCUUUCCUCUCCCACUUGAUCUCUCCCUUCUUCCUUCUGGUAAGUUCUGCCCAGAUAAAAUCAGAUUUUGGACUAGAAAGAUGAAGUGAGAAUGGGAUAAGGUUAUAGUUUGUGCUAUAAGCACUGAAAAAACUAUUAAGGUCUUGAAUAGAGCAGAAUUUAAGACACAGCUGUAUGUUCAGC